rnacentral:lncRNA from 1 species
GCUUCCUGCUGUGUUUGGAGAGCCCUUCCAACCUUGGUGAGUUGACACCCCCUGCCCCCAACAGACUCUCACUUUCCUGCUUAAACACCCAGGGAUCGAACCUGCAUCCUCAUGGAUGCUAGUCAGAUUCAUUUACCACUGAGCCAUAACAGGAACUCCUUCCUGCCCAAUUUAAUUCCCCUGAUAAGGUGCUUUCAAGACCACCUCUGGGGCUCUUCCACUCGGGUCAGCUACUUCAGCUACUUGCUAGAAUUUUUAUUCAUCUGAGGAAGCUGAUCCUGCCUGGGGUCUAACUCCGUCUCUUCCCCAGUCUUGAGAACCACCUGCCACCUCCUUUUGUCCUUGCCUCCUUUUUUCCCCCCUUUUUUGGCCGCACACGCAGCAUGUGGAAGUUCCCAGGACAGGGAUGGCACCUGCACCACAGCAGUCGAACAAAACGCUCUGCACCACAAGGGAACUCUAAAGAACUCUAGUUUUUCUUUCUUUUUUCUUUUCAUGUCCACACCUAUGGCAUAUGGAAGUUCCCAGGCUAGGGACUGAAUCAGAGCUACUGCUGCCGGCCUGCGCCACAGCCACAGCAACACCGGAUCCAAGCCUCAUUUGCAAACCGGCAUCCUCACAGACACUCUGUCAGGUUCUUAAUCUGCUGAGCCAUAAUGGGAGCUCCUAAGGAACAGUUUUUCAAUGAGCGGAACUGAGCAGACUGUCUGGUUCUGAGCAAGACAACUGAUAUCCAUGGGUCCACCCAUUAAGUGGAAAGAUCCUAGAGUUCCCAUUGUGGCUCAGUGGGAACCCGACUAGCAUCCAUGAGGAUGUGGGUUCGAUCCCUGGCCUCACUCAGUGGGUUAAGGAUGCAGCAUUGUCAUGAGUUGUGAUGUAGCUUGCAGACUUGGCUAGGAUUCUCCGUUGCUGUGGCAGUGGUAUAGGCCGGCGGCUGUAGCUCUGAUUUGACCCCUAGCCUGGGAACUUCCUUAUGCCUCAAGUGCAACCCUAAAAAGACCAAAAAAAAAAAAAAAAA